UACGAAGGGGGCUAGCGUUGCUCGGAAUCACUGGGCGUAAAGGGUGCGUAGGCGGGUCUUUAAGUCAGGGGUGAAAUCCUGGAGCUCAACUCCAGAACUGCCUUUGAUACCGAGGAUCUUGAGUUCGGGAGAGGUGAGUGGAACUGCGAGUGUAGAGGUGAAAUUCGUAGAUAUUCGCAAGAACACCAGUGGCGAAGGCGGCUCACUGGCCCGAUACUGACGCUGAGGCACGAAAGCGUGGGGAGCAAACAGG
rnacentral:rRNA from 1 species